AGCGAACGUUUGCGGCGGGCCUAACACAUGCAAGUCGAACGCACUAGCAAUAGUGAGUGGCGCACGGGUGCGUAACACGUGGGUAAUCAACCCUUCAGCCUGGGAUAACGACUCGAAAGGGUCGCUAAUACCGGAUACGGCGCGAGAGGCUUCGGCUUCUCACGAGAAAGCCACGCAAGGGGCACUGAAGGACGAGCCUGCGGCCCAUCAGCUAGUUGGUGAGGUAAGAGCUCACCAAGGCUAAGACGGGUAGCUGGUCUGAGAGGAUGAUCAGCCACACUGGAACUGAGACACGGUCCAGACUCCUACGGGAGGCAGCAGUGGGGAAUAUUGCGCAAUGGGCGAAAGCCUGACGCAGCCACGCCGCGUGAGCGAUGAAGGCCUGGUCGUAAGACUCUGUGGGAGGAGACGAAGAAAGACCUGUGAAGAGCAGGCCGUUGACGGUAGUCUCCUUAGCAAGCACCGGCUAACUCCGU
rnacentral:rRNA from 1 species